UGGGGAAUAUUGCACAAUGGGCGCAAGCCUGAUGCAGCCAUGCCGCGUGUAUGAAGAAGGCUUUCGGGUUGUAAAGUACUUUCAGUCGGGAGGAAGGUGGUAAGGUUAAUAACCUUAUCAAUUGACGUUACCGACAGAAGAAGCACCGGCUAACUCCGUGCCAGCAGCCGCGGUAAUACGGAGGGUGCAAGCGUUAAUCGGAAUUACUGGGCGUAAAGCGCACGCAGGCGGUUGAUUGAGUCAGAUGUGAAAUCCCCGGGCUUAACCCGGGAAUUGCAUCUGAUACUGGUCAGCUAGAGUCUUGUAGAGGGGGGUAGAAUUCCAUGUGUAGCGGUGAAAUGCGUAGAGAUGUGGAGGAAUACCGGUGGCGAAGGCGGCCCCCUGGGCGAAGACUGACGCUCAGGUGCGAAAGCGUGGGGAGCAAACAGG
rnacentral:rRNA from 1 species